rnacentral:lncRNA from 1 species
AGAAGAGUUUACAUCAAGAUUGAUAUUUGCAAAGAUCUUGAGGACAUUGCUUCCAAAAUUCGAUCAUAUGGUUGUAGCCAUAGAAGAAUCGAAGGACCAGUCAAGUAUGAAAAAAGAAUAGCUUUAUAUGACACUUAAAUAUCAUGAACAAAGAAUUGCUAAAAGAUCUGCAAGCAAGACGAAAGGUAAUGUAGCUCUGCAAACACAAUCAAAAAAAGAAAAUAAAAGCAAAGAAAGAUGGAAUGACAACAAAG